rnacentral:rRNA from 1 species
UACGGAGGGGGCAAGCGUUGUUCGGAAUUACUGGGCGUAAAGGGCGCGUAGGCGGGCGAUCAAGUCAGAGGUGAAAGCCCUGGGCUCAACCCGGGAGGUGCCUUUGAAACUGGUUGUCUGGAGUACGGGAGAGGAUGGCGGAAUUCCCAGUGUAGAGGUGAAAUUCGUAGAUAUUGGGAAGAACACCGGUGGCGAAGGCGGCCAUCUGGCCCGGAACUGACGCUGAGGCGCGAAAGCGUGGGGAGCAAACAGG